GGGGAUGUAGCUCAGUGGUAGAGCGCAUGCUUUGCAUGUAUGAAGUCCUGGGUUCAAUCCCCAGUAUCUGCU
rnacentral:tRNA from 1 species